CAUCUAAAUAAUUCGAUUGAAGUGAAUUAUUGAUAUGAGUCUAUGCUAUUUGAAUCAGCUAGACUAAUGUUUAUGAAAACUCUAAGUGUUCAUUGUAAGAAAUUUCCUGAACCAAAUUGUUUGGUGCGGAAUCCUAUGAUAAGACUGAGGUGAACAAUGUUGUUUGGAUAAAUGAUCCAAUCUAAUGGCAUAAAUAUUCGCUAGGUAUGAUUAAUACGUUAUGCAUGACGUAGGGGUACAAUAGGCUAAUCACCCAAAGUACUAUUAAUGGUAGUUUACCUUCUUUGUGAUUGUAAACAUACCAGGUAAUGUUUUGUUUUGCGGUAUGAAUACCGUUAAAACUAUGUGUUCAUGGUCUAUAUGACCCCUCAGCAUAAUUUGAAAACUUUUACUCUUAUGAGAGGUGUAUUGGGUAGCAUGUGAUGAUAUGUGUGAAUGUUGUAGGCACAGAUAGAGUUAGCCGAGUUAUGAGGGAGGUUGGAGCAGAGGGAGAUAUUCAGAUAAGACAGUUGAAGGUUGAAAUAGAAGCCAAAGACACCAGAUAUAUACCUUGGCCAGGCUUUAGUCAUCACCUUCAUGCGAUUCAAUGCAGAGUGGAUGGAGCUGCCUUUCGGCAGAGAUAGGCGUUGAUGAGAAUUGAAUAAAUUUAUCGUCAAUCAAAAUAAGAGACAACGUAUAUAGAACUCUUGAUUGCUGUGUAUAUAUACUAUAUGUUAAUCAGGGUAACUUAUGUAUGUAGAUGUCUGGUGAGAAAGAUAUGUGGAAUAAGAAGGAUCAUAUUCACACCCCGAGCUAAUAUCGAGGCCAACAGAUGAAAUAGAAGCUCACUAGGAACCGAAAUCGAACGAGGUGGCUAUCAUGGAAAAACGUAACAUCAGAUCCAGAAAUGUUGGAUUUGAUAGAUAGUGAUUCAGACACUAAAGUUGAAGCUGCUCAAGCAUCAACGGAGGUGCAGGAUUUGGAGAACAAGGUUUCUUCAUUGGAAAGGUUGUGGGAGAUAGAAAAGUUGAUGCGUCAGGCGUUAAU
rnacentral:lncRNA from 1 species